GGAAAGGAAGUAGAGGAGCCUCUUGUGGAAAGAUUUCUCAAGGGAUUUGGUUACAAAAGGAAGGAAAAAUAGAGGUUGAAGGCAUCUGAUUAACAUGAAUUAAAAAGGAGUGUGAUGUAAGUUCCUCUGCUGAGAAAGUGAUGAGAUGUGUGAUGAGAAAUACUUGGAAGAGAAGAAAAGAUUUAGAACAACCACUGUGGGCAGUAUAAUCAAUUAGAAGAGAGCAAAAUGAUUGCCUUCCUCCAAUGAAGGCCCAGUGAAUUUCAGAACUCGAAAGGGUUCCCAAGACCAUCUAGUUGAAGACAGACCUGAAGAAGAAUGCUUUCAUGACCAUCUAGCUUUUUGAUAGACCUAAGGUGCAAGUAAUAGAACAUGUAUUACAAAGGAGAGGCAUAUGGUAGUGUAAAGAUGCAGAAUCAUAGAACAAGUAAAUGUGAUGAAGAACUAUAGAGGAUGGCACCAUCUACAAGGAUGAACAAGAAGAAGAUGGUCAAGUCCUAUAAAAAAGAGCUGGGGAUAACUACUCAAUGGCCCAUGUGUUGUACUGGUGUUCUGUGGAUGUUAAGUAAAAAGGAGGAAGGUCCGACCAACUUUGGGUAAGGAUCCUACGGCAAACACAUGAAUGACAAGACUUAUAUUGAAAGGGCAGGACUGAUGGUCUGGGAUCUGCACUAUUAAAAGAGACAUCCACAUUGAUGAGCUCACCGGGCCU